GUGGUUAUCAGCUGUGCCUCCCUCUUAGAGGUCCUCGGAGUCCAGAGUCCUCGAAGGGAAAUCUGACACAAAGAAGCAGGUGUGAGACCGGCCCCUUUCUCCCAUGCCUUAGACAGGGCUCCAGGGACUGCUUCAGGGGAGAUGUCAGAGGGCAGCAGGGACCGGGAAGGGAGGAAGAAAGCAGAGUGACAGUGAGAGGUGGGAAAACUACAAGAGGAAUUGUUUGUACGCUUGGAUCUGGACUUUUAGAACUGGUCAGGACCUGACAGAUCCUCCAGCCCAGUUCUCCCGGCUCUCAAACACUGGCAUCAUUUAUAAUUCCCUGGAAAAUCACCAGCAGGUAAAUGAAGGAGAAAAGAAAAGAACAAAAUCCACCGGGAACCAGAGACUUCCAGGCUCCAAAGACAGGCAAUCUCCACCAGGAAUAUAGACAGGAUUUCCACAUGUCGCCCAGGCUGAUCUCAGACUCCUGACCUGGAUCUUCCCACCUCAGCCACUGAACGUGCUGGGAUUACAGGACAGUGGGCAUGUUUGAUCCUACCUCCUGGGAGGGCCUCAAGAGAAGCAAAAGACAGAAGCCCAUAAAGACAGAGGUAAGCCUAGAAUUGUACGAUUGGAACUCAAUGACGCCAAUAGAAUACUGCAUGACUUUCACGACUCAGUUGGAAAAAGUGACACAGUUUUCACCUUGUUCACUGGGAUACCUGCAACAGGACCCUGAGCCGGCCAUCUUGUGACGAAGUCCAGACCACGUGGAGAUGGCGCAUGGUCUCACUCUGUUGACCAGGGUGAGGAGUGUAGUGGCAUGAUCAUAGUUCACUGCAACCUCUGCCUCCCUCCCAGACUCAAGCAAUCCUCUGGCCUCAGCCUCACCAAGUAGCUAGGACUACAGAUUCAUGACUUCAAUUGAGAGAUGAGUUUCAAGCCACCUUUCAAGGAAUCCUGGGUAGAAUGAAAUCUGUUCCAUGGAAUCUUAAGAAGAAGAAGAAAAAAAAUCAAGAUCCCUGUGGGCAAAGUCAUUUGCUGUCAUGCUUGGAAGGAGUAGAACCAAGUGUUUAUGAGCAUGGACUUUGGAGUCAGGAUACUCUCCUGAUAUACCACGAUGCAGAAUGUCAAGUAGGAAAAGAAGCUGUUGCAUUGGGCAAUUAAGAAGUCAUUGGUGAGAGAAGUUUCAGUCUGAAGUGGAAUCAUAGUAAAUUACAGAAAAAUAGUCUUUGGAGAGAGAAGGAAUCUGGUUAAUCCACAGGCCACACAAUCAUGGUUGAAAAUUAGUGAAUGAGCGAAUGAUGGAUCCAUCUCUUGAAGCAAUACUUGAAUCGCAGAAUUCUUAUAUUGAUAGAAGCAGAAGGAAACCAGAAGUGCUCCAAUUAAAGGCCUCCAUUUUUCA
ensembl:lncRNA LINC01517 long intergenic non-protein coding RNA 1517